CCGGCAGGCUGCUUUAUCGUCCCGAGUACUCGGGAAGGAAAGUCCGGGCAACGCAGGGCACCGCGCUCCUUAACCGGGAGAUCUCUGAAAGGGGAUAGCAGUGUAACAGAAAAUAACCGUCUUGCUGGAGUUUUGGUUUGAAAGCGGACAAGUCCGCCUUCGCCGGGGCUUCGGCGGACAAGGGUGAAAAGGUGGGGUAAGAGCCCACCGGUGGCCGUGGCGACACGGUCAGCCGUACACCUCGCGGGUUGCAAAGCCAAAUAUAUCCUGAUUGAAAAGCUGUUGCUGCUCAACGAAACGGCCCGUUUCGUUUCCGGCUGCACACCGGGAGUCAGGAGGGGUAGGCUGCAAGGAUCCCGGCAGCAAUGACGGGACAAGAUAAAUGAUAAAGGCUCAUGACGUUCAUUUAUGAUGAAAUCAGAGUACAGAACCCGGCUUACAGGCCUGCCUUUUUU
rnacentral:RNase_P_RNA from 1 species